CCUACGGGAGGCAGCAGUGGGGAAUAUUGCACAAUGGGGGGAACCCUGAUGCAGCGACGCCGCGUGAAGGAUGAAGUAUUUCGGUACGUAAACUUCUAUCAGCAGGGAAGAAAAUGACGGUACCUGACUAAGAAGCCCCGGCUAACUACGUGCCAGCAGCCGCGGUAAUACGUAGGGGGCAAGCGUUAUCCGGAUUUACUGGGUGUAAAGGGAGCGUAGACGGGCCAGCAAGUCUGAUGUGAAAACCCGGGGCCCAACCCCGGGAGUGCAUUGGAAACUGCGGGCCUGGAGUGCCGGAGAGGUAAGCGGAAUUCCUAGUGUAGCGGUGAAAUGCGUAGAUAUUAGGAGGAACACCAGUGGCGAAGGCGGCUUACUGGACGGUAACUGACGUUGAGGCUCGAAAGCGUGGGGAGCAAACAGGAUUAGAUACCCUUGUAGUC
rnacentral:rRNA from 1 species